rnacentral:piRNA from 1 species
UUUCCCAGAACAGCUAGAGUGG